UAAACCUCAGUUAUUAGUAAUAUAGUUUUGUCAUAACUAAGAGAAAUUGGUUUAA
rnacentral:tRNA from 1 species